rnacentral:rRNA from 1 species
ACCAAGCCGACGAUCAGUAGCCGACCUGAGAGGGUGACCGGCCACAUUGGGACUGAGACACGGCCCAAACUCCUACGGGAGGCAGCAGUGGGGAAUAUUGCACAAUGGGCGAAAGCCUGAUGCAGCGACGCCGCGUGAGUGAAGAAGUAUCUCGGUAUGUAAAGCUCUAUCGGCAGGGAAGAAAAUGACGGUACCUGACUAAGAAGCCCCGGCUAACUACGUGCCAGCAGCCGCGGUAAUACGUAGGGGGCAAGCGUUAUCCGGAUUUACUGGGUGUAAAGGGAGCGCAGACGGCGAUGCAAGUCUGGAGUGAAAGCCCGGGGCUCAACCCCGGGACUGCUUUGGAAACUGUAUGGCUAGAGUGCUGGAGAGGCAAGCGGAAUUCCUAGUGUAGCGGUGAAAUGCGUAGAUAUUAGGAAGAACACCAGUGGCGAAGGCGGCUUGCUGGACAGUAACUGACGUUCAGGCUCGAAAGCGUGGGGAGCAAACAGGAUUAGAUACCCUGGUAGUCCACGCCGUAAAC